rnacentral:rRNA from 1 species
AGCAGUAGCCACGGGAAUACGGAGGGUGCAAGCGUUAUUCGGAUUGAUUGGGUGUAAAGGGUGUGCAGACGGCUUAUUAAGUCACUUGUUAAAUUCUUCGGCCUAGCUGAAGGUCUGCAAGUGAUGCUGAUGAGCUAGAGGGUGGAAGAGAGAAGUGGAAUUCUCGGGGUAGCGGUAAAAUGCGUAGAUCUCGAGAGGAACACCAAUGGCGAAGGCAGCUUCUUGGUCCAUUCCUGACGUUCAUACACGAAAGCGUGGGGAGCAAACAGGAUUAGAUACCCGAGUAGUCCCUGUCUCUUAUAA